rnacentral:rRNA from 1 species
AUUGAACGCUGGCGGCAGGCCUAACACAUGCAAGUCGAACGAGUGGCGGACGGGUGAGUAAUGUCUGGGAAACUGCCUGAUGGAGGGGGAUAACUACUGGAAACGGUAGCUAAUACCGCAUACCAUCAGAUGUGCCCAGAUGGGAUUAGCUAGUAGGUGGGGUAACGGCUCACCUAGGCGACGGUCCCUAGCUGGUCUGAGAGGAGGACCAUCCACGCUGGAACGGGGACACGGUCCAGACUCCGACGGGAGGCAGCAGAGGGGAAUAUUGCACAAUGGGCGCAAGACUGAUGCAGCCAUGCGGCGGGUGUGAAGAAGGCCUGCGGGUUGUAAAGCACUUUCAGCGGGGAGGCGUUACCCGCAGAAGAAGCACCGGCUAACUCCGUUCCAGCAGCCGCGGUAAUAC